CUGGCCAAUGUUGUGAUACUUAAACGCUUCAAAUUUUGAUUAUUUAAUAAGAAGCUACAAUCCUUAAGGACUCAAAUAUUGGUUUUGAGGUGUCCUUUCCUUGUAACAGUUACUCCUUCAGGAAAUAAGACCAGAAAACUCACCAGGGCUAGCUCCAUCCGCGAUCAGGGCUUUUUAUAGCCGAACUUUUGGUGACCAUCGAUGAUAAUGUCGUGUGUAAACUGCAGUCUGCAAUGGAGAAGCGACAAAUGGACGAUACAUAAACAAAAGACCGCCGCAUAAAUAAGACGGUAAGCGAAAAAGAAGUAUAAACAGAAGAAACCUGGCCAAAAGCAGGGCUCAGGGGCGUGGCCAGGUGUUGGGGCAGGUGUCUUUCUGCUUUUUUUUUUCGACAGAUCUUAGCAGCGAGUCCAAAAACCGAAAACCGAAACCAGGCCGCCCGUUUACUUGGCGUUUGGUGGCAUCUUUUGUUUGCUCCGCCAAGCCACUGAAGAAGUUGAUCGCUGAUUAAAUAAUAAUCGCACUUGGUAAAUGAAAACCACGCUCAACUGAAGGUCAACUCGAAUGCGGUCACCGGAGUGAUGUUUACACAAAAUAAGGAAGAGGAUGGUUUACAAAAUGUAAUAUGAGGAAGUUUACUUCUAGUAUCAACCCACUUAUUUUGCAUAUUAGUGUAUUAACCGCAUCCCAAGUUCAUGAUCAACUGGAGUCCCUUUCAAAUUGAUCAAUCAAUGGCCAAGUCAAUUAAAUAAAUUAUCACCUGAGAAUGGGGUCCAUAGACAUUUGACACUUUAGCAGCUGUCAGCCUAAGCAGCGGAGCACUGAAUCAAUAAAGCUAAACGUUGGAACCAUAUUGGGUUGGGCUGCGGUAUAAAAACCAAGCUUUGGCUGAUACGGAGGCCAAGUGUUUUCUGCCCGGUCAUGGUGGAAGUAUCGAUGGUGAUGACGUAGAUCUUGCAGCCGAAAACCGGAAACAAUCGAUCUGCUCUAAAUAUGUAAAUAAACGAACUUUCGAGAA